rnacentral:rRNA from 1 species
CCUACGGGAGGCAGCAGUGAGGAAUAUUGGUCAAUGGGCGGAAGCCUGAACCAGCCAAGUAGCGUGCAGGAUGACGGCCCUACGGGUUGUAAACUGCUUUUAUACGGGAAUAACGCGCCUUACGCGUAGGGCUUUGCAGGUACCGGAUGAAUAAGGACCGGCUAAUUCCGUGCCAGCAGCCGCGGUAAUACGGAGGGUUCGGGCGUUAUCCGGAUUUAUUGGGUUUAAAGGGAGCGUAGGCCGGCCGUCAAGCGUGUGGUGAAAGUGUCGGGCUCAACCCCGGCCUUGCAGCGCGAACUGGCGUGCUUGAGUGCGCGGGAGGCCGGCGGAAUUCGUGGUGUAGCGGUGAAAUGCUUAGAUAUGACGAAGAACCCCGAUUGCGAAGGCAGCUUGCUGCGGCGGAACUGACGCUGAGGCUCGAAAGCGCGGGUAUCGAACAGGAUUAGAUACCCUAGUAGUC